rnacentral:rRNA from 1 species
ACGGGAGGCAGCAGUAGGGAAUAUUGCACAAUGGGGGAAACCCUGAUGCAGCGACGCCGCGUGAGUGAUGAAGUAUUUCGGUAUGUAAAGCUCUAUCAGCAGGGAAGAUAAUGACGGUACCUGACUAAGAAGCCCCGGCUAACUACGUGCCAGCAGCCGCGGUAAUACGUAGGGGGCAAGCGUUAUCCGGAUUUACUGGGUGUAAAGGGAGUGUAGGUGGUUUGGCAAGCCAGAUGUGAAAGCCCGGGGCUCAACCCCGCGGACUGCAUUUGGAACUGUUAAACUUGAGUGCAGGAGAGGAAAGUGGAAUUCCUAGUGUAGCGGUGAAAUGCGUAGAUAUUAGGAGGAACACCAGUGGCGAAGGCGGCUUACUGGACUGUAACUGACGUUGAGGCUCGAAAGCGUGGGGAGCAAACAGGAUUAGAUACCCUGGUA